UGUAUACUCACCGUGUCCAAGCAGCCAGGCCAUCAGCAGGCAUCAAGAUGUGUGUUCCAAGUGCCCAGUCCAGGAUCCCUUGCGAGGACACGAAGCAGGAGAGACACCAGCUAUCCACCAGCAAGUCUCCUUGACUCCUUGGAGACGGGUCACAAGCGGAUGAUUUGUCAGUAUUAUGCAUCCCUCGUGCACACCCCAGCGUAUCUGAGGUCCUGGAAGCUGCUCACAUUUCAGUGUGCUGCAAGGUAGAGAGCAGCAAAGCCCUUGGUGGAUUGGGAACUGACCUCCACAUCUCCCUGCUGCUCGAGCUUCGGGACCAUCCCUCCUCUUGGCAUCAGAGCUCAGAGGCCUUUCUUUGUUAAAUUCUGCUUCAAUCGGUUUAAUUCUGUUUUCUUGCUGGAAGAGGAUUUAGUAAAACAAACAAAACAUCUUACCAAUGUGAAUAUUCACAAUUAAUGACAAAACUCCGAAACAGGAAGGUCAUUUCUUGGGGAGGGAGACUGGUAUUAUUUUGAAUGAAGGGAAGAGUGCAAAGAUCUUGCAAUAUUUGCUGUAAAUGGGUUGUUAUGGUGAACAUUCCUGUCAGCAAGUUCAUUAGCUCAGAGAUCCACGAGUGAACAGAGACCAAAAAAUAUGUUUAAAAAUUCAAGAACAGAUUAGUGGACAAUAUUUUGCAAUCUUUGUCUAGUUCUGCUUCUCACUGAGAAUUAGUAACUUUACUCCAGGCCAGAUUCAAAUAAUCUUACUCAUGCAGAGCAGCACUGUGUUUUAUGAGUAACCCCAGUGACAUUUAGGGCUGUAUUUUGGAAUAAGAUUGGAAUCAGAGAAAGACAGUGGGAGGCAUGGCUGAAUCACCUUGAUUAAUAAGUGUAAAAUUCUUAGGUUUUUAUGUGUCUAUAUAAAUAAACAUAACAAGAAUAAGGAGGGAUGUCUGGAUUGACAGGCGUGUGAGGGAACUUAUAAACAUCUUUUUGCAAUAUACAGCAGACUCGUCUUCUAACAGAAAAGGACAACACCCAAAAGUUACUUAAUAUCAGGAAAAGAGGAAUUCACACCUUCAGAAACAAUAGAAGAUCAAGCCAUUUUGUGGGUUUUACUCUCAACAGUUCUGGCUGUUGCCUGUGAUAUUACAUAAGGUCUACACUGCUCUCCAUAGAAGUGAUGGAUGAAGUUUUCAGAGCUGCCCAAAUGUCUUGAAAGCAUGUGGUCCAUUUUCCAAAAUAAUAGGGUCCUUGGGAUUCUAAAUCCCAUUGAAUUUCAGCACUUCUGGGAAUGGUCUCAUUCACUUCUAAAUCAGUAUGCAUUUUCCAGUUUGUUAUGCUCCCCAUUUCAUUUUAUCUCGGGACUCCAGCCAUCACCAUACAUCAAUAACAAGAUCGUCAGAGGGCAGGAUUAAAAAGGAAAUACGGCUGUGCCCAACUGCUCUGUCAAAAUGCCUCCAAGACCCAUCACAGGCUCCUGACAUUACCAGGGAGCGAGGAAGGAGCCAAUUCGAAGCUCGCUGAUGUAAAGGAAAAGUCCACUAAUUUCUAUGGAUUUCAGUGAGGCUUGGAUCAGGCCCUGGAAGAAUAAGGAUGACAUAAAAAUAACAUGACGUCUGCCAGAUUCACCAAUAUGCUCUGAUGUUUUGCCCGGCUCAGUGAUGCAAAGCAGAUGGGAAGCCCUGACAAUCCUGGCCCUCUUCAAUCAGUUACUCCGUCUCUCGGAUUAGUUUUCAUCAGGCGUUUUAUUCACGACAUAAAUACAUUUAUCUCAUCAGUGCUUCUGCAGGAGCAUUUCAGAAGAAAAAUCACCACAUUUUAACUUUAUCAGAGAAAAGGUUUCCGUAUUUUAUCACUUGGUGACUAUCAAUUUUCAACAAGGUUUCUAAGAAGUCUAUUAUGGAGCCUGUGAAUUUUGCUAUACUUAUGCAGGGCUCGUAAUUAGUUGAAUUUAGCUGUCUUUUUCUUCCAUACCACUUUGGCCCAAGCAGCAUGCACAAAUUGUGCCAUUCGACUCUUGCACCAUCAAACGGGGCAUUGGAACAAAUAUUCUGCAAAAUACAAAGCUUACCUUUAAGUUCAAGCCCAUGCUUAAAUCCCAUCAAAGCUAUCAUAAAUAAAUACAUGUAUAGUUCACUGAAUCGGUGCCAGAAAAUGCAUUUAAAAGAAUGUAGCUUCCUUUGAAAAUUACCCCAGUGUCUCCACCCUCUCCUACCCUAUUGCUACACAAAAAGGAGUGAAAUCCAUUGGGAAAUACUUAUACAUGAGGGGUUUGUGCACUGAGUGCCUCAAAGAAAAAAGAAAAGGCAUUGCCCUGUCUAACAUUAUAUGCCAGGAACAAGCAAUAAAGAUGUAAUUCAG